rnacentral:tRNA from 1 species
GUUGUAGCUUAGUGGAAGAGCAUUUGCCUAGCAAGCACAAGGCCCUGGGUUCAAUCCCCAAAACA